rnacentral:rRNA from 1 species
UACGGAGGAUCCAAGCGUUAUCCGGAUUUAUUGGGUUUAAAGGGUGCGUAGGCGGCUUAUUAAGUCAGGGGUGAAAGACGGUGGCUCAACCAUCGCAGUGCCUUUGAUACUGAUGAGCUUGAAUGAACUAGAGGUAGGCGGAAUGUGACAAGUAGCGGUGAAAUGCAUAGAUACGUCACAGAACACCGAUUGCGAAGGCAGCUUACUAUGGUUUAUUGACGCUGAGGCACGAAAGCGUGGGGAUCGAACAGG